UGGAUUAGUAAAGUCUCAGAGCAGACGUACAUCUGGUCAAAACUUUAAUGUCAUACCUCUCAGAAUAGUUAAACUAAGGCACAUGCAUGUCGUAAACGGAUUUACACACGAGUGAAGGAGCUGCUACAUUUUAUCCAUUAUUAAGGAAACAUGAGCGAAGAAGAAGAAGAAGAACCGAUGGAUACGUGUUUUGAAUAUAGCCUUCCUCUGCUAAAAACAACGUUCGAAUUGAGACAUGAUGAGAUUGGCUUGACAACGCAACAGAUUUUUCAUAAGCGAUUUCAGGAAGAAAUGUCCGGUACAAAACCGGUCCGGUAUUAUUUUUUGGAUCGUAAAGGUUUUUUUAUUUCUGCUCCUGGGAGUUUUGAAGAAGCAAUGGAUACGAGUUAAACACACACACACACACACACACACACACACACACACACACACACAACUCUAAACACCCAUUCAGACAUUUGUCUACCUAUACAACAAAGCAAAUGACUAUGUAUUGUUUAUAAACAUUUUUUUUUUCGACCAAUCGCAACCGUUUUCUAUUCAAGAUUUUUUUAAACAGCUGUAUAAAAUGUAAAACGCAUUUUCGGAGUCGUGAUUUGAGGUGUAACAAGCUAAGAUGACGGGUAAGUUUUUAACUUAAGACGCAAAUCUUUUUUUUCUCUUUCUGGUUUAACAUCUUUAUUUUCAGACGCUAUUGUCAUAUCGGACGGGGAGUGGGAAGAAAUUCCUAUUGAGGAAUUAACUUGUAAAACUCCGGUACCUUUUCCCCUCGAUGAUUUGUCUAAAAUUAAUCGUGCGGUCGACAAUCUGAGUGAGUGGAUUUUAUAAAUAUAUACGUAACGUUCUUUUCUUCAGCUGAGAAAUAUCUCAUUUUACAGAAAAGGAGGGGGUUCAACCUUACCCCGGAAGUGAUAACUUUUACCCAACCACGCCUCCAUCCACCAGCCGAACCGUCUUACAUUCGUAUCAGCCCAGCCAGACCGUCAGAUCACACGCGAACGCGAAAGCUGUUCGUUACAGGAACAUCACGCCACAGACGAUCCUCGAAGCUGAGCAACGGCCGACGGCCUACGCACCCCCAAUAUCUCAGCCCCCACCACCUCCAACCCCUUCUCAUGCGCAGACGGAUGAACAACAUCCGACAGCCGCUUCAAUAUCUCCGCCCACACCUCCUCCUCCUCCUCCCCCUUCUCCUGCACAGGAACAAUCCGACAGCGACUCUGAAACCGCUGAACGUGCUCCUGAGCAGCCAGCCGGUAAGCUGUUUCACAAAACCGCUCCGCAGAGUAUAUUAAAUUUUGAAGUAAAAAAGAUGAUGUUUUUU